rnacentral:lncRNA from 1 species
UUGCCAUGUCAGAGGACCAGGAGCCUGUGGCCACAGAGGCACUUCUGCCAGCCACAGAGGAGGAGUCUUACAUGCACUCCCUCUUGUCCUGGGGAAGACCUUGUUUGCUGGGCUGCCCAUUUCUGGCAUCGUUCUUGGAGCCGUUUAUCUUGACCAAUGUCCACGACAGCCUCUCGUUCCUAUCUACUUAAUGCUUCUAAGCAUUGUUGUGCUCCUCCUUCUCGGCCUCAGCUGCGUUCCGUGUGGGACUGGCACAGAUCAGCAAAGCGCCUUGACCCGCCACCUCCGGGCCGUCACCCUUCUCUUCCUCUGUGCCUGGUUCAUUGCAGGCAGCGUGUGGGUCUACUCCAUUUAUCCCCCUGACUACGAGUCUGUUGGACAGCCGAGCUUCUGCCACCGCACCCUCUUCCUUUUCGCCUUUGGGGUCACUACCACCCUUCAUGUGGCUUUGGCACUGGCACUUCUGCUUGCCCUCAGCAUCCUUGUGGGCAUCUUCAUUUUCAAGGCUGUCUUACCCUAUGGUGGACAUGGCAGUCGUGGGGGCCCAUAGCAGCUAAUGUGCAACAUGGGUGGGUAGUCGUUGGCGGUGUUUUUUUGUUGGUUUUUUUUCUUUUUUGGUACUGAUGCUGGGGCAUUUUGUCAAUAAAGUGGAUUGUGCUGCACGGAAUGUUCCA